GAAAGAAAGACUGAUUUAUAUAAAGCCUUUGAGUCAGUUAGGAUAUGAGGAAUGUGGUACGGUGAGUUAGACAGGUAACAAAAGAGAAAGAAAGACUGAUUUAUAUAAAGCCUUUGAGUCAGUUAGGAUAUGAGGAAUGUGGUACAGUGAAUUAGACAGGUAACAAAAGAGAAAGAAAGACUGAUUUAUAUAAAGCCUUUGAGUCAGUUAGGAUAUGAGGAAUGUGGUACGGUGAGUUAGACAGGUAACAAAAGAGAAAGAAAGACUGAUUUAUAUAAAGCCUUUGAGUCAGUUAGGAUAUGAGGAAUGUGGUACGGUGAGUUAGGUAACAAAAGAGAAAGAAAGACUGAUUUAUAUAAAGCCUUUGAGUCAGUUAGGAUAUGAGGAAUGUGGUACGGUGAGUUAGACAGGUAACAAAAGAGAAAGAAAGACUGAUUUAUAUAAAGCCUUUGAGUCAGUUAGGAUAUGAGGAAUGUGGUACGGUGAGUUAGACAGGUAACAAAAGAGAAAGAAAGACUGAUUUAUAUACAGCCUUUGAGUCAGUUAGGAUAUGAGGAAUGUGGUACGGUGAAUUAGACAGGUAACAAAAGAGAAAGAAAGACUGAUUUAUAUAAAGCCUUUGAGUCAGUUAGGAUAUGAGCAAUGUGGUACGGUGAAAUAGACAAGUAACAAAAGAGAAAGAAAGACUGAUUUAUAUAAAGCCUUUGAGUCAGUUAGGAUAUGAGGAAUGUGGUACGGUGAGUUAGACAGGUAACAAAAGAGAAAGAAAGACUGAUUUAUAUAAAGCCUUUGAGUCAGUUAGGAUAUGAGGAAUGUGGUACGGUGAAUUAGGUAACAAAAGAGAAAGAAAGACUGAUUUAUAUAAAGCCUUUCAGUCAGUUAGGAUAUGAGGAAUGUGGUACUGUGAAUUAGACAGAUAACAAAAGAGAAAGAAAGACUGAUUUAUAUAAAGCCUUUGAGUCAGUUAGGAUAUGAGGAAUGUGGUACGGUGACUUAGGUAACAAAAGAGAAAGAAAGACUGAUUUAUAUAAAGCCUUUGAGUCAGUUAGGAUAUGAGGAAUGUGGUACGGUGAAUUAGACAGGUAACAAAAGAGAAAGAAAGACUGAUUUAUAUAAAGCCUUUGAGUCAGUUAGGAUAUGAGGAAUGUGGUACGGUGACUUAGACAGGUAACAAAAGAGAAAGAAAGACUGAUUUAUAUAAAGCCUUUGAGUCAGUUAGGAUAUGAGGAAUGUGGUACGGUGAAUUAGACAGGUAACAAAAGAGAAAGAAAGACUGAUUUAUAUAAAGCCUUUGAGUCAGUUAGGAUAUGAGGAAUGUGGUAUGGUGAAUUAGACAGGUAACAAAAGAGAAAGAAAGACUGAUUUAU